GGCCGGAUAAGGCACUCGUGCCGCAUCCGGCAAUCAAUGCCUGAUGCGACGCUGUCGCGUCUUAUCAGGCC
rnacentral:ncRNA from 1 species